UACAGAGGUCCCGAGCGUUAUCCGGAUUCACUGGGUUUAAAGGGUGCGUAGGCGGGUAAGUAAGUCCGUGGUGAAAUCUCUGAGCUUAACUCAGAAACUGCCGUGGAUACUAUUUGCCUUGAAUAUUGUGGAGGUGAGCGGAAUAUGUCAUGUAGCGGUGAAAUGCUUAGAUAUGACAUAGAACACCAAUUGCGAAGGCAGCUCACUACACAAUCAUUGACGCUGAGGCACGAAAGCGUGGGGAUCAAACAGG
rnacentral:rRNA from 1 species